rnacentral:rRNA from 1 species
UAUAAGGUCUAAUCUGCCCAAUGAGUAAUUGAAUGGCCGCGGUACUUUGACCGUGCAAAGGUAGCAUAAUAAUUAGUUUUUUAAUUGAAAGCUGGAAUGAAUGAUUGGACGAGAAAAUUACUGUCUCAGUUUAGAUUAACUUGAAUUUUAUUUUUAAGUAAAAAAGCUUAAAUUUAUUUAAAAGACGAGAAGACCCUAUAGAGUUUUAUAAAUUGAUUUAUAAUUUUAUAAAGGGAUAUUUUUGUGGUUAUAAUUUAUUUUAUUUUAUUGGGGCGAUAGAAAAAUUUAUUUAACUUUUUAUUUAUGAUAACAUUGAUAUAUGAGUUUUUGAUCCAAUUUUUUUGAUUAUAAGAUUAAAUUACCUUAGGGAUAACAGCGUAAUUUUUUUUUAGAGUUCUAAUCGAAAAAAAAGUUUGCGACCUCGAUGUUGGAUUAAAAUAAAUGUUUGGUGUAGAAGCUAAAUAAUUAGGUCUGUUCGACCUUUAAAAUUUUACA